UGGGGAAUAUUGGGCAAUGGGCGAAAGCCUGACCCAGCAAUGCCGCGUGAAGGAAGAAGGCCUUCGGGUUGUAAACUUCUUUUAUCAGGGACGAAGGAUGUGACGGUACCUGAUGAAUAAGCUCCGGCUAACUACGUGCCAGCAGCCGCGGUAAUACGUAGGGAGCAAGCGUUAUCCGGAUUUACUGGGUGUAAAGGGCGCGUAGGCGGGAUGGCAAGUCAGAUGUGAAAUCCAUGGGCUCAACCCAUGAACUGCAUUUGAAACUGUUAUUCUUGAGUACUGGAGAGGUUGACGGAAUUCCUAGUGUAGCGGUGAAAUGCGUAGAUAUUAGGAGGAACACCAGUGGCGAAGGCGGUCAACUGGACAGCAACUGACGCUGAGGCGCGAAAGCGUGGGGAGCAAACAGGAUUAGAUACCCUGGUAGU
rnacentral:rRNA from 1 species